AAGCAAUGAUGAGUGAAGUAUAGUCUGACCUGGUAUUGCUGACUCCGUGUCUGCUCUGACCAGGGCAUGAUCACUUAAUCUUCUCUCUGAGCUA